AUGCUCUGAUUUGCUUAUUGCACCACAUGUGUUUUUCUUUGAAACAAACUUGCUUUGGCGGUGGGCCCAGCCUGCCGCCAGAGGUCUAAACUUACAACCAAUUUUUUAUCAACUUGUCACACCAGAUUAUUACUUAAUAGUCAAAACUUUCAACAACGGAUCUCUUGGUUCUCGCAUCGAUGAAGAACGCAGCGAAAUGCGAUACGUAAUAUGAAUUGCAGAUAUUCGUGAAUCAUCGAAUCUUUGAACGCACAUUGCGCCCUCUGGUAUUCCGGAGGGCAUGCCUGUUUGAGCGUCGUUUCUCCCUCAAACCGCUGGGUUUGGUGUUGAGCAAUACGACUUGGGUUUGCUUGAAAGACGGUAGUGGUAAGGCGGGAUCGCUUUGACAAUGGCUUAGGUCUAACCAAAAACAUUGCUUGCGGCGGUAACGUCUACCACGUAUAUCUUCAAACUUUGACCUCAAAUCAGGUAGGACUACCCGCUGAACUUAAGCAUAUCAAAAGGCGGAGGAA
rnacentral:rRNA from 1 species